rnacentral:rRNA from 1 species
AUACGGAGGGUGCAAGCGUUACUCGGAAUCACUGGGCGUAAAGCGCGCGCAGGCGGGCUGAUAAGUUGGAUGUGAAAGCCUAUGGCUCAACCGUAGAACUGCAUCCAAAACUGUCAGUCUAGAGUCUGGGAGGGGAAGAUGGAAUUAGUUGUGUAGGGGUAAAAUCCGUAGAGAUAACUAGGAAUACCAAAAGCGAAGGCGAUCUUCUGGAACAGUACUGACGCUGAGGCGCGAAAGCGUGGGGAGCAAACAGGAUUAGAAACCCUAGUAGUCC